AUUGUCGCUUUCCUAACUUCACCGACUCUCCUUCGCUCGCCGGUGUCGUCGAGUCGUUCUCUUCCUCUCCUCGAUUGCGUGGUAUCGGAUUUGGAUUAGCUGCACACAAGCAGAUCGGGACGACGGGAGGAAUCUUGCAGCUGAUAUAGUUCGCGAAUGGACGAUCUGAAUUUCGUUUGUUUGACAUCCAUGGUGAGAUUGACAUGUAGUAUCUAAUAAAUAAGAGUACUCUCGCCAUCCAAUGAACGGCGAUAUAGCACACGGCUGCUAGCGGUAGCAGUAGUUGGUGGCUUGAUCAGGAACUCAAGAUAAGGAGCACUGGUGUGUCGAGGUGUUCCCUGACAUCUAUAGUGCGUUCUGCAGAAACGAUACUUCAUAACUCCCCAGAUCCCAAAAUAUAUAUCAAUCGAUGUGUGCCAAAAUGCUAUGGAUCCAAAUCAUUGUGUUCGUGCAAAACCCUUGAUUUUAUCAACCAUGUCAGUCAACUAUUGAGGAAAGCAAUGAUAUCAUCCAGUCGAUGAAACUCAUGUUAUUCCAUUCCUUUUUCAGGACCACAAUUGCACAUAUUACUAUUGUGUAUUACUGAAAAUGUCCAAUGAAUUGCAAAAGUGCAGAAGUUUAAUUUGAUGAUAUGCCAUCCAAAAUUUUCUUAGUUGUUCAGCACAUCUUCUUAUAUUAAUUAGUAGUAAUGCAAGAUGAAUCCAUGUUCUCUGAAUAAUAGA